GCCAGGCUCGUUCCUCUCUGGUAGCUGUUGCAUUCAAGGGACGCCUCGGCUGAGUCACUGAGCUGCUGUACUAAUGGAUCCCCCGAAAUUGUUAGUCACCGUCUUCAUGGACGAGAAGGAAAUAAGCAAAAAAGUUCUUCGGUUGAGAUCACUACAAGAGGUUGUCGAUGCAUGCGCUCCAACCACAGGAACAGACAGCCCAGAUUGCUACAGGGUUAUGAAGUUCGAUACAGACUUCAACGAAUUCAUAGACACAGACUCUACUGACAGUGUUGAAGACAAGGACAAGCUCCAAGUAUUCUUCAGAUCGAGUGGAACCUCAGUAUUGGCUGAACAGCUGAAUACAUCUGGGG